rnacentral:rRNA from 1 species
GAUGAACGCUAGCUACAGGCUUAACACAUGCAAGUCGAGCGGGGUGAUGGUGCUUGCACUAUCACUUAGCGGAGGACGGGUGAGUAAUGCUUAGGAAUCUGCCUAGUAGUGGGGGACAACAUCUCGAAAGGGAUGCUAAUACCGCAUACGUCCUACGGGAGAAAGCAGGGCAUCACUGGUGACAUUGCGCUAAUAGAUGAGCCUAAGUCGGAUUAGCUAGUUGGUGGGGUAAAGGCCUACCAAGGCGACGAUCUGUAGCGGGUCUGAGAGGAUGAUCCGCCACACUGGGACUGAGACACGGCCCAGACUCCUACGGGAGGCAGCAGUGGGGAAUAUUGGACAAUGGGGGGAACCCUGAUCCAGCCAUGCCGCGUGUGUGAAGAAGGCCUUAUGGUUGUAAAGCACUUUAAGCGAGGAGGAGGCUCUUUUGGUUAAUACCCAAGAUGAGUGGACGUUACUCGCAGAAUAAGCACCGGCUAACUCUGUGCCAGCCGCCGCUGUAA